AUAUGCAAUAGAGUGCAUACACGCAUAAGCUGGCUGAUGUGCAUUGUUUAUUUUGUUGCUGUUUUGCAAUUAUUCCUAAAUGUCUUUAAUGUAAAGCAAAACGCUUCGACCGGAAGUUCAUUAUAAAUGCAUUGGUUUAUAUUUUUUAUAUAGUGAUGGUCUUUUAGACUCAUUAAGACUGGGAUUUUCUUGUUCACCUUAUAAAAAUCGAAUUAAUACACAAAAAUGCCUAUAUAUUUCUAGUAGCAGAAACGCUCCAAUUAGCGGAAGCACUUGGUUUAAUUCUCAACAGCAAUAAAACAUCGUGCUAAAAAUGCACAACAAAUGUGAUUACAAACCAUUAACACUGACUAUUGGUGCAAAUCAAUGAGCCCAUAUGUCACAUGCGUAUCACCACAUACAUUUAUACAGUUAUAUCCGCCUACUGUGAGCCUAACUGGAGCACAUUGGUAGCAAUUUAUGACACUCGGGCUUUGACUUAUUCCAUAUUCGUCGUUGAUUACAUGCAAUUUUAAACAUUGGAGGUGGAGGUACCUACUCGGGGGAAUAGAAUAUAAUCGCAAAAUAGAAAUUGCAAGAAAUCAAUUGGAAGCAGUACGGCGGCUGCAAUCAUCACUCUUUUGAGCUAAACGUCAUAACAAAUAUCACAUAUAAGUAGAUAUGUAAAGAAGCAAUAACAAAGCAUGUUAAGCGAAUAGAAAUAGUUUGAUAGCGUUUACUAAUUCAGUAUUAUUAUGAACUCGCUGUGCUGAGCAUGUGUUUGUUUCUAAUUCCUUAUCAGGAUUGUAUUGCUAAUUGUUAGAGCGUCACGAUAAGACGUUUGAGCCAAUAACUACUCAAAAAAUACACUACGUUAUCUCGCUGCCGAAAUAGCAGUACUGAAAAAAUAUGGACGAAGUAUUUUCACUACAUUUGGGAAAACUAGACAUUUUUGAUGUCUUCUUUCUUGCUGGCAUUCUCUCUUUGGUUAUACUUUUCUCAAUUUAAACUGGAUUCAACAACAAAUAAACAUGAACUGGAUUUCAAUGGUUAAAAUUUGCUACAAAUUUAUUAACAACAAUGGAAAAUACGCAGCGGAAGAAAACAAUUGUGAAAUACAAAGCAAACGUCAAUGAGAGACAGAACCGAAAAGAUAGAAAACGUCAACAAUAUGAGAAAAAAAAAAACAUCUGCAUAAACAGGGUUGCAUGGCUGUCGGCAUAUGAAACAAGUUUCUAAAGAAUUUAUUUGCUAUGCGCAAUGCAUUAGAAUAACUUGAUUUCUUUAAGAAAAAGACAUUAAAAAACAAUUUUUUUAUGUAGUUAUGUUUUGUCAAUAUUUUACUAAAAAUGUUUUGUAGAUUGAAAUAUUUAUUUAAAUUUGGAAAUUAACAUUGUAAGAAUUUGUGAUAAUCUUAUGCCAGAUUUUGGCUAAAAUUAAUUUUGUAUUAAUUUUAUAUGAUUACAGAAAACAUUUUAAAUUAAUUUUGCUAUAUUCGCUAUAACUGAAAUUCAGUCUAUGGCAGCUUAUUUGAUAGUCAUUUUGUUAUAAAAAGACUGAAUUGUAGAGCAUCAAAACCACACAUUUAAGAAUUGUUAAAAGAAAUUAGUUAGCUAGAGCCGAAUAAUAAAAUUUGUAUGUCAUAAUUUAACGAAGAAAAAUUGACUUUUAAAUCGUGCAUGUUUUGUGGAUACUAUAGCCAUUUGAAAUCUGAGAUAUAUUUCCUUCUACCGAAGAUUUACAAAAAAAGGUAUUGGCGUGUGAACAGGCUAUUUUUCUUAUGCGUUAAUUUAUUCUAAAAGUAGCCCAAGUAUCUUUAUAUUUUUUACAAUUAGCAAAUAGUUUGAAAGUUUCGUAGUAUUAAUUUUACGGAAAUAAAGCAGAAAGUACUACUAAUGAA